CCUACGGGAGGCAGCAGUGGGGGAUAUUGCACAAUGGGGGGAACCCUGAUGCAGCGACGCCGCGUGAGUGAAGGAGCGUCUCGGUGCGUAAAGCCCUAUCGGCAGGGAAGAAGGUGGACGGUACUGGACUAAGAAGCCCCGGCUAACUACGUGCCAGCAGCCGCGGUAACACGUAGGGGGCAAGCGUUAUCCGGAUUUACUGGGUGUAAAGGGGGGGCAGACGGCAGCGCAAGCCAGGAGUGAAAGCCCGGGGCUCAACCCCGGGACUGCUCUGGAAACUGCGCGGCUGGAGUGCAGGAGGGGUAGGCGGAAUUCCUGGUGUAGCGGUGAAAUGCGUAGAUAUUAGGAGGAACACCGGUGGCGAAGGCGGCCUGCUGGACUGCAACUGACGUUGAGGCCCGAAAGCGUGGGGAGCAAACAGGAUUAGAUACCCGGGUAGUC
rnacentral:rRNA from 1 species